rnacentral:rRNA from 1 species
GGCGCUGCCUAAUACAUGCAAGUCGAGCGGACAGAAGGGAGCUUGCUCCCGGAUGUUAGCGGCGGACGGGUGAGUAACACGUGGGUAACCUGCCUGUAAGACUGGGAUAACUCCGGGAAACCGGAGCUAAUACCGGAUAGUUCCUUGAACCGCAUGGUUCAAGGAUGAAAGACGGUUUCGGCUGUCACUUACAGAUGGACCCGCGGCGCAUUAGCUAGUUGGUGGGGUAAUGGCUCACCAAGGCAACGAUGCGUAGCCGACCUGAGAGGGUGAUCGGCCACACUGGGACUGAGACACGGCCCAGACUCCUACGGGAGGCAGCAGUAGGGAAUCUUCCGCAAUGGACGAAAGUCUGACGGAGCAACGCCGCGUGAGUGAUGAAGGUUUUCGGAUCGUAAAGCUCUGUUGUUAGGGAAGAACAAGUGCGAGAGUAACUGCUCGCACCUUGACGGUACCUAACCACAAAGCCACAUCUAACUACGUGCCAGCAGCCGCAGUAAUACAUAGGUGGCAGGCGUUGUCCGGAAUUAUUGGUCGUGGUAGGCUCGCGGGCGGUGUUUAUUUGUGAUAUAUAAGAACGCCCCGCCUCAACGUAGGGGGGUGUUGGAAGGUGGGGAAGUUUGUCGCAAAAGAGGGAAGGGAAGUCCA